UGUUGAUAUUUUUUUCUUCUAACAGUCCUCUCCUCUUCCUUUUCUUAAGUACACAUGUAGGUCAUUGUGACCCAGACAAUAACAACUAACAUACAUGCUAGUCAACAGACGCAUUAAACAAAAUGAUUUCACUUUAUUUCAUCCUGGAGGGAACUGAGCAUGUCCUGGUGUACCACACCGGUCAUAUCAAACCGUUAUAUUUCUUUACUUUAUUAGCUUUACCAUGGCCUAAUUAGUGGAAUAGGAGACACUAAACAUGUCUAAAGACCUUAAUCAUUUUGGUGUCACUGAUCAUAUUACCUUGGAACACAGCAAUGCACAAGUUUGUAAAGUUUUAUACAGAUCAUAACAUGUCAAUCCCAGCUUUGCUUCAAAGAGAAACCCCCUCCGCUCCUUGACAGGAAACACCUUGCUAGGCUAACUUCCCUAUGCUACCUCCUUCACACCUCCCUGGUUGAGACAAAAGAUAGCUCUCAACCUGCACUUCUUGUCUCCCUGACAGAGAGAAAAAAGUCUCCAAUCUG